GGGUUGUGAGGUUAAGCGACUAAGCGUACACGGUGGAUGCCCUGGCAGUCAGAGGCGAUGAAGGACGUGCUAAUCUGCGAUAAGCGCCGGUAAGGUGAUAUGAACCGUUAUAACCGGCGAUUUCCGAAUGGGGAAACCCAGUGUGACUCGUCACACUAUCAUUAACUGAAUCCAUAGGUUAAUGAGGCGAACCGGGGGAACUGAAACAUCUAAGUACCCCGAGGAAAAGAAAUCAACCGAGAUUCCCCCAGUAGCGGCGAGCGAACGGGGAGGAGCCCAGAGCCUGAAUCAGCAUGUGUGUUAGUGGAAGCGUCUGGAAAGGCGCGCGAUACAGGGUGACAGCCCCGUACACAAAAGCGCAUGUGCUGUGAGCUCGAUGAGUAGGGCGGGACACGUGGUAUCCUGUCUGAAUAUGGGGGGACCAUCCUCCAAGGCUAAAUACUCCUGACUGACCGAUAGUGAACCAGUACCGUGAGGGAAAGGCGAAAAGAACCCCGGCGAGGGGAGUGAAAAAGAACCUGAAACCGUGUACGUACAAGCAGUGGGAGCACCCUUCGGGGUGUGACUGCGUACCUUUGUAUAAUGGGUCAGCGACUUAUAUUCUGUAGCAAGGUUAACCGUAUAGGGGAGCCGCAGGAAACCGAGUCUUAACCGGGCGUUAAGUUGCAGGGUAUAGACCCGAAACCCGGUGAUCUAGCCAUGGGCAGGUUGAAGGUUGGGUAACACUAACUGGAGGACCGAACCGACUAAUGUUGAAAAAUUAGCGGAUGACCUGUGGCUGGGGGUGAAAGGCCAAUCAAACCGGGAGAUAGCUGGUUCUCCCCGAAAGCUAUUUAGGUAGCGCCUCGUGAAUUCAUCUCCGGGGGUAGAGCACUGUUUCGGCUAGGGGGCCAUCCCGGCUUACCAACCCGAUGCAAACUGCGAAUACCGGAGAAUGUUAUCACGGGAGACACACGGCGGGUGCUAACGUCCGUCGUGAAGAGGGAAACAACCCAGACCGCCAGCUAAGGUCCCAAAGUCAUGGUUAAGUGGGAAACGAUGUGGGAAGGCCCAGACAGCCGGAUGUUGGCUUAGAAGCAGCCAUCAUUUAAAGAAAGCGUAAUAGCUCACUGGUCGAGUCGGCCUGCGCGGAAGAUGUAACGGGGCUAAACCAUGCACCGAAGCUGCGGCAGCGACGCUUAUGCGUUGUUGGGUAGGGGAGCGUUCUGUAAGCCUGCGAAGGUGGCCUGUGAGGGUUGCUGGAGGUAUCAGAAGUGCGAAUGCUGACAUAAGUAACGAUAAAGCGGGUGAAAAGCCCGCUCGCCGGAAGACCAAGGGUUCCUGUCCAACGUUAAUCGGGGCAGGGUGAGUCGACCCCUAAGGCGAGGCCGAAAGGCGUAGUCGAUGGGAAACGGGUUAAUAUUCCCGUACUUGGUGUUACUGCGAAGGGGGACGGAGAAGGCUAUGUUGGCCGGGCGACGGUUGUCCCGGUUUAAGCGUGUAGGUGUGUGUUCCAGGUAAAUCCGGUUCACUUUAACACUGAGGCGUGACGACGAGGCACUACGGUGCUGAAGCAACAAAUGCCCUGCUUCCGGAAAAGCCUCUAAGCAUCAGGUAACAUCAAAUCGUACCCCAAACCGACACAGGUGGUCAGGUAGAGAAUACCAAGGCGCUUGAGAGAACUCGGGUGAAGGAACUAGGCAAAAUGGUGCCGUAACUUCGGGAGAAGGCACGCUGACACGUAGGUGAAGUGAUUUACUCAUGGAGCUGAAGUCAGUCGAAGAUACCAGCUGGCUGCAACUGUUUAUUAAAAACACAGCACUGUGCAAACACGAAAGUGGACGUAUACGGUGUGACGCCUGCCCGGUGCCGGAAGGUUAAUUGAUGGGGUCAGCGCAAGCGAAGCUCCUGAUCGAAGCCCCGGUAAACGGCGGCCGUAACUAUAACGGUCCUAAGGUAGCGAAAUUCCUUGUCGGGUAAGUUCCGACCUGCACGAAUGGCGUAAUGAUGGCCGGCUGUCUCCACCCGAGACUCAGUGAAAUUGAACUCGCUGUGAAGAUGCAGUGUACCCGCGGCAAGACGGAAAGACCCCGUGAACCUUUACUAUAGCUUGACACUGAACAUUGAGCCUUGAUGUGUAGGAUAGGUGGGAGGCUUUGAAGUGUGGACGCCAGUCUGCAUGGAGCCGACCUUGAAAUACCACCCUUUAAUGUUUGAUGUUCUAACGUGGACCCGUUACCCGGGUUGCGGACAGUGUCUGGUGGGUAGUUUGACUGGGGCGGUCUCCUCCUAAAGAGUAACGGAGGAGCACGAAGGUUGGCUAAUCCUGGUCGGACAUCAGGAGGUUAGUGCAAUGGCAUAAGCCAGCUUGACUGCGAGCGUGACGGCGCGAGCAGGUGCGAAAGCAGGUCAUAGUGAUCCGGUGGUUCUGAAUGGAAGGGCCAUCGCUCAACGGAUAAAAGGUACUCCGGGGAUAACAGGCUGAUACCGCCCAAGAGUUCAUAUCGACGGCGGUGUUUGGCACCUCGAUGUCGGCUCAUCACAUCCGGGCUGAAGUAGGUCCCAAGGGUAUGGCUGUUCGCCAUUUAAAGUGGUACGCGAGCUGGGUUUAGAACGUCGUGAGACAGUUCGGUCCCUAUCUGCCGUGGGCGCUGGAGAACUGAGGGGGCUGCUCCUAGUACGAGAGGACCGGAGUGGACGCAUCACUGGUGUUCGGGUUGUCAUGCCAAUGGCACUGCCCGGUAGCUAAAUGCGGAAGAGAUAAGUGCUGAAAGCAUCUAAGCACGAAACUUGCCCCGAGAUGAGUUCUCCCUGAGACUUUAGGUCUCCUGAAGGAACGUUGAAGACGACGACGUUGAUAGGCCGGGUGUGUAAGCGCAGCGAUGCGUUGAGCUAACCGGUACUAAUGAACCGUGAGGCUUAACCUUACAACGCCGAAG
rnacentral:rRNA from 1 species